rnacentral:rRNA from 1 species
UAAUACCGGAUAGGAGCGUCCACCGCAUGGUGGGUGUUGGAAAGAUUUAUCGGUUUUGGAUGGACUCGCGGCCUAUCAGCUUGUUGGUGAGGUAAUGGCUCACCAAGGCGACGACGGGUAGCCGGCCUGAGAGGGUGACCGGCCACACUGGGACUGAGACACGGCCCAGACUCCUACGGGAGGCAGCAGUGGGGAAUAUUGCACAAUGGGCGAAAGCCUGAUGCAGCGACGCCGCGUGAGGGAUGACGGCCUUCGGGUUGUAAACCUCUUUCAGUAGGGAAGAAGCGAAAGUGACGGUACCUGCAGAAGAAGCACCGGCUAACUACGUGCCAGCAGCCGCGGUAAUACGUAGGGUGCGAGCGUUAUCCGGAAUUAUUG